rnacentral:rRNA from 1 species
UACGUAGGGGGCAAGCGUUAUCCGGAUUCAUUGGGCGUAAAGAGCGCGUAGGCGGAUUGUUAAGCGCGAUGUGAAAACUGGGGGCUCAACCCGCAGCUUGCAUCGCGAACUGGCAGUCUUGAGUCUGGUAGAGGAGUGUGGAAUUCCCAGUGUAGCGGUGAAAUGCGCAGAUAUUGGGAGGAACACCAGUGGCGAAGGCGGCACUCUGGGCCACGACUGACGCUGAGGCGCGAAAGCUAGGGGAGCGAACAGG